GAUGAACGCUGGCGGCGUGCCUAAUACAUGCAAGUCGAGCGAACAGACGAGGAGUUUGCUGGGCGGACGUGUGCGGCGGACGGGUGAGUAACGCGAGUAUAAUCUACCUAUAAGACUGGGAUAACUUCGGGACACCGGAGCUAAUAGCGUAUAAGAUAUUGAACCGCAUGGGUCAAUGGAGAAAGUCGGCGUUGCGGUCACUUAUAGCUGGAUCUGGGCUGCUGUAGCUAGUUGUUAAGGUAACGGCUUACCAAGGCGACGAUGCGUAUCCGAAGUGAGAGAGUGGUAGGCCGCAUUGGAGCUGAGACACGGACCAGACGCCUGCGGGACGCAGCAGUCUGGAAUGUUACGCAGUAGGCGAAAGCCUGACGGAGCAACGCCACGUGAGUGACGAAGGUCUCCGGUUCGUAAAGCUCUGUUUUUAGGGAAGAACCGAUGUGUACGUAGCUAUGCACGUCUUGACGGUACCUAAUAAGAAAGCAACGGCUAACUACGUG
rnacentral:rRNA from 1 species